rnacentral:rRNA from 1 species
GGCAGGCUUAAUACAUGCAAGUCGAACGGCAGCGGGUCCAGCAAUGGAUGCCGGCGAGUGGCGCACGGGUGCGUAACACGUAUGCAACCUACCUUUAACCGGGACAUAACCUCAAGAAAUCGUGGCUAAUAUUCCAUAAUAUCUUUGAAUCGCAUGGUUUGAAGAUCAAAAUUCCGAUGGUUUUAGAUGGGCAUGCGCGACAUUAGCUAGUUGGUAAGGUAAUGGCUCACCAAGGCUACGAUGUUUAGGGGGUCUGAGAGGAUGAUCCCCCACACUGGUACUGAGACACGGACCAGACUCCUACGGGAGGCAGCAGUAAGGAAUAUUGGGCAAUGGGCGCAAGCCUGACCCAGCCAUGCCGCGUGCAGGAUGACAGCCCUACGGGUUGUAAACUGCUUUUAUACGGGAAAAAACCCUCUGACGUGUCAGAGGCUGAUGGUACCGUAAGAAUAAGCAUCGGCUAACUCCGUGCCAGCAGCCGCGGUAAUACGGAGGAUGCAAGCGUUAUCCGGAUUUACUGGGUUUAAAGGGUGCGCAGGCGGAACGACAAGUCAGUGGUGAAAUCUCCUGGCUCAACCAGGAAACUGCCAUUGAUACUAUCGUUCUUGAGUCCAGUUGAAGUAGGCGGAAUGUAGCAUGUAGCGGUGAAAUGCUUAGAUAUGCUACAGAACACCGAUAGCGAAGGCAGCUUACUAAACUGAAACUGACGCUCAUGCACGAAAGCGUGGGGAUCAAACAGGAUUAGAUACCCUGGUAGUCCACGCCCUAAACGAUGAUCACUCGUUGUUGGCAACUAUAUCGUCAGCGACUAAGCGAAAGCAUUAAGUGAUCCACCUGGGGAGUACGUGCGCAAGCAUGAAACUCAAAGGAAUUGACGGGGACCCGCACAAGCAGCGGAGCAUGUGGUUUAAUUCGAAGCAACGCGAAGAACCUUACCAGGACUUGACAUACUAGUGCCAAAUGUAGAGAUACAUUAUUUCUUCGGAACACUAAUACAGGUGGUGCAUGGUUGUCGUCAGCUCGUGUCGUGAGAUGUUGGGUUAAGUCCCGCAACGAGCGCAACCCCUAUGUUUAUUUGCCAGCAUUUUGGAUGGGAACUAUAGACAGACUGCCGAUAAGAAAUCGGAGGAAGGUGGGGAUGACGUCAAAUCAUCAUGCCCCUUAUGUCUAGGGCUACACACGUGCUACAAUGGUCGGUACAAUAAGACGCAAGCCCGCGAGGGGGAGCAAAACUGGAAAACCGAUCUCAGUUCGGAUUGUAGGCUGAAACUCGCCUACAUGAAGCUGGAGUUGCUAGUAAUCGCGAAUCAGCAUGUCGCGGUGAAUACGUUCCCGGGCCUUGCACACACCGCCCGUCAAG